UAAGCAUAUCACUAAGCGGAGGAGAAGAAACUAACCAGGAUGCCCCUAGUAAUGGCGAAUGAAGCGGGCAUAGCUCACGCCGCCAAUCUGGAGGUCGCCUCAGCUGACCCCCCGAAUUGUAGUCUAGAAAGGCGCCAUCGGCCGCGUCCGCCGCUCAAAUCCCUUGGAACGGGGUAUCGGAGAAGGUGAGAAUCCUGUGCCGUGGCGGUUCGCGGUCGCACGAUGCGUCCUUGCCGAGUCGGGUUGCUUGGGAUUGCAGCUUGAAGUGGGUGGUAAAUUCCAUCUAAAGCUAAAUACUGGCGAGAGACCGAUAGCGAACAAGUACCGUGAGGGAAAGAUGCAAAGAACUUUGAAAAGAGAGUUAAAGAGUGCUUGAAAUCGGCGAGAGGAAACCCGUUUGCGCCCGGUUUCGCGCCGUCGACUCAGCCGGUCCUCGGAUCGGUGCACUUUGUCGGCGCGGGUCAUCCUGGGCUGCGUGGGCGGGAGAUGCCCGGUGGGAGGGCUUCGGCGAUCCACCGGGAGCGCCGCGCGUGCGGCUCCGGCUGACGGAACGGGCGCAACCGACCCGUCUUGA
rnacentral:rRNA from 1 species